CCUACGGGGUGCUGCAGUGAGGAAUAUUGGUCAAUGGACGAGAGUCUGAACCAGCCAAGUAGCGUGAAGGAUGACUGCCCUAUGGGUUGUAAACUUCUUUUAUAUGGGAAUAAAAUGUUCCACGUGUGGGAUUUUGUAUGUACCAUAUGAAUAAGGAUCGGCUAACUCCGUGCCAGCAGCCGCGGUAAUACGGAGGAUCCGAGCGUUAUCCGGAUUUAUUGGGUUUAAAGGGAGCGUAGGUGGAUUGUUAAGUCAGUUGUGAAAGUUUGCGGCUCAACCGUAAAAUUGCAGUUGAAACUGGCAGUCUUGAGUACAGGAGAGGUGGGCGGAAUUCGUGGUGUAGCGGUGAAAUGCUUAGAUAUCACGAAGAACUCCGAUUGCGAAGGCAGUUCACUGGACUGCAACUGACACUGAGGCUCGAAAGUGUGGGUAUCAAACAGGAUUAGAUACCCCAGUAGUC
rnacentral:rRNA from 1 species